UGGGGAAUAUUGGACAAUGGGCGCAAGCCUGAUCCAGCAAUGCCGCGUGUGUGAAGAAGGCCUUCGGGUUGUAAAGCACUUUUAUCAGGAGCGAAACGCUGUCGGCUAAUACCCGGCGGAACUGACGGUACCUGAGGAAUAAGCACCGGCUAACUUCGUGCCAGCAGCCGCGGUAAUACGAAGGGUGCAAGCGUUAAUCGGAAUUACUGGGCGUAAAGCGUGCGUAGGCGGUUUCUUAAGUCUGCUGUGAAAUCCCCGGGCUCAACCUGGGAAUGGCAGUGGAUACUGGGAGGCUAGAGUGUGUCAGAGGGUGGUGGAAUUCCCGGUGUAGCGGUGAAAUGCGUAGAGAUCGGGAGGAACAUCAGUGGGCGAAGGCGGCCACCUGGGACAACACUGACGCUGAGGCACGAAAGCGUGGGGAGCAAACAGGAUUAGAUACCCUGGUAGUCCACGCCCUAAACGAUGCGAACUGGAUGUUGGUCUCAACUCGGAGAUCAGUGUCGAAGCUAACGCGUUAAGUUCGCCNCCUGGGGGAGUACGGUCGCAAGACUGAAACUCAAAUGAAUUGACGGGGUCAUAGCUGUUUCCUG
rnacentral:rRNA from 1 species